rnacentral:rRNA from 1 species
AUUGAACGCUGGCGGUAGGCCUAACACAUGCAAGUCGAACGCGAAAGUCCUUCGGGAUGAGUAGAGUGGCGGACGGGUGAGUAACGCGUAGGAAUCUGUCCUGUAGUGGGGGAUAACGUUUCGAAAGGAACGCUAAUACCGCAUACGCCCUACGGGGGAAAGCGGGGGAUCUUCGGACCUCGUGCUAUAGGAGGAGCCUGCGUCGGAUUAGCUAGUUGGUGAGGUAAAGGCUCACCAAGGCGACGAUCCGUAGCUGGUCUGAGAGGAUGAUCAGCCACACCGGAACUGAGACACGGUCCGGACUCCUACGGGAGGCAGCAGUGGGGAAUAUUGCGCAAUGGGCGAAAGCCUGACGCAGCCAUACCGCGUGUGUGAAGAGGGCCUUCGGGUUGUAAAGCACUUUCAGUGGGGAGGAAAAGCUGGUGGCUAAUAUCCAUCGGCCGUGACGCUACCCACAGAAGAAGCACCGGCUAAUUCCGUGCCAGCAGCCGCGGUAAUAC